rnacentral:rRNA from 1 species
UACGAGAGGUCUCAAGCGUUUGUUCGGAUUCAUUGGGCGUAAAGGGUGCGUAGGUGUGGGGUAAGUCGGAUGAUGAAAUCCCGGGGCUCAACCCCGGAAACUGCAUUCGAUACUGACCUUGCUCGAGUACUGGAGAGGGAGACUGGAAUUUACGGUGUAGCAGUGAAAUGCGUAGAUAUCGUAAGGAAGACCAGUGGCGGAAGGCGAGUCUCGUGGACAGUUACUGACACUGAGGCAGCGAAGGCCAGG